UAAACAGAAAAAUACAUGGGUACUUGGAAAUACCAGAUUUAUUUCUCGUGUUGAACAUGAUAUCUCACUCGUUCGCUGCCCUCAUUCGUGAGAUAUCAUGUUCAACACUCGAAAUAAAUCUGGUAUUUCCGCGCACCCAUGUAUUAUUCUUUAUAACUUUGGCGGAGUUUUAAUGGAAAUAUUAAUGUUAGGUUUUUUAUCAAACUGCGG